CGAAUUUCUUUUUCAGUUUUUUACCCUUAAGACCGACUCCCCCUUUUUAUUUGCUGACUGGAAUCUGUCAACAUUACAAGGAUUGGUAUUCGCAUUAUUAGCAGCCACAGGUUUUGCAGUUGUGUAUGAGGUUCUUACUUUUUAUAUACAGCUCAGGGAAUCUUUGUUACAACAACGGAAUGGAAAGUACGCAUUCAAGUCGUUCAUAGGAACCCAUUGUCUUCUGUCAGUAGUCCGUAUGCUGAAACUGUUUGUCGGGUACCUUUUAAUGAUGUGUAUUAUGUCUUACAACAUAUGGAUGUUACUUUCAGCAACGCUUGGUGGGGGUAUCGGUUAUCUUUGUGCUAGGCCUAUCAUCAACACAUGUUUCUUCAAAAACAGAUACAGCUACAGUGUAACGGCAAAUAUUCGAACAGACCUUUUACCUAUACGUCAAAAGGCAAGUGAGGAUUACCUCCCCUUUGGUUUAUACUUCAACACGUCCGACCCAUGGAGCAAUGCAUCAAACAGACCAAACAGUGUAUAUGAACCGGAAGUAACCAUGUAUGUCUCUGUGCUUUAAAGGAUCGUGAUGAUGUAAAAUAUAAAACUGAUGAUAGGUUUUGUCUUGUAUCUGUUUCAUGUUUGUGUUGAACUUGUUGCAUGUUCGUGUUUUAAUGAUCAGAAGUUAUGUAGUGCUAAUAUGUAUUAUAAAACUUUUUAUGUA